GUCUAAUCCAUAUGUAGGCUUGCGUUCUUUUAGAAAGUUUGCACGCUCCUUAUUCUUCUUUGCAUCAGCUUUUUUUAUCUUCUUUUCAUACGCCCUAAUCUCUCUACAUUUCUCCAAAAGUGGCUCAUGAUGAAGAAAAGCAACGUCCUUCAAAUGGUAGUAAGUGUGGUGAUUUCCUUUAACUUUCUUUUUGGGCUCUCU
rnacentral:misc_RNA from 1 species